GUAUUGUCUACCAGGCAGCCUGAAAUGUGGUACUGGAGCUCAGAAGACUUCAAUAGCCAACCCAAGACAAAUAAAAGUGAAUAUUGAAUUACCACAGUGUUCUAACCAUACAGAUGUCAUAAGCUACCAAUGCUUUUUGAUGAAAUUACCAGUGUGAGGGACAGAAAUGAGAAAAGCCAGACUUCGAAGCCUAAUUUUCAGGGGCUCACAUCACUUCUGUUCCUGUGUCGUGGGACCAUCCAGCAGCAGCACAUAAUUGAAAGUCAUCUGACUCACAGGAUUGGGAGUGAACCUGGCAGGCCCUGGAACAGAUCUUCACUGACUGGCAUGUGUCCACGGAACUGGGAUUCCUGAAAAUCAAAUACAGAACUCAUCAUACCAUUGGUUGAAUUACAAUGCCCCCACUGGUGAAUCAUGAAGAAGGCCCUGAGGAUUUUGGAGCAAAGCUCUGCCAUCUUCUUCAAGUAAACACUCUCUUUCGAGAAACAGCUCUUGGCGUGCUACUGGGCCUUAGUAGAGACUGAACACUUAAGCAUGGACCGCCAGGUUACCAUGAAAUCUGAGCUGUCCAUUAUGAAUUAGGUGUUAUCUGACCCACCAAGGCCUAAAGUUGGGCAUGCCCAUCAGCAAUCCAUAAUAAAGUGGAAGUGAUAUAUAUGUGAGGGGACCCAAAUAGACCGUAAGGAAACAGGUAAGUUACAUGAAGAAGUGGUCCCAAAGCCUAAGGUCCUCACUUCUGCUACUCGGCCUUCUCUUUCUCAGCCCAUACCUAUCACCACAUGGGAAGAUCCUGAUGAUCAGCUGGCAAAAGAAGACAUCUAGGGCCUGGGGUGUGAAUUAUAUGCAGGCACAACCUAAACGUAGGUAGCUGUAGCACUGUAGCCUUGUUCUUGGGCAUCCUAAAUGAGAAUGGUAAAGGGAAAUCCUUCUGUCAAGCAGAACAUGGUUGUUCUCUUAGUUCAGAAGGAAAAAUGGCCAGAUGUAUGUACUGAUUCAUGGUCUGUGAUCAAUGGUUUGAUAGUAUGGUCAGGGUCAUGGAAGGAAUAUAAUUGAAAAAUUGGUGACAAGAAAAAAUUUAGAUUAGAGGUAUGCAGACCUUUCAGAAUGGGCAAAAAGUGUGAAGAUAUUUGUGUCCCCUGUGAAUGUUCACCAGAUGGUGAACUCAGCAGAGGAGGAUUUUACUAAUCAAGUGGACAGAAUGACUUGUCCUGUGAAAAUUCAGUCAGCCUCUUUCUCCAGCCACCCCGUCAUCACAUAAUGAACUUAUGAACAAAGUGGCCACGUUGGCAGAGAUGGAGGUUAUGCAUAGGCUUAGCAACAUGGAAUUCCAUUCACAAAGGCAGACCUGGCUAUGGCCACUGCUGAUUGCCCAAUCUGCCAGCAGCAGAGACUAACACUGAACUCCUGAUAUAGCACCAUUCCUUGGGGUGAUCAGCCAGCUACCUAGUAGGAGAUUGAUUACAUUAUACUGCUUUCAUCAUGGAAGGGACUGUGUUCUGUUCUUUCUAGAAUAGACAUUUACUCUGUUUCUUUUUAUUUUUAUUUUUUAAUCUUAAAGCCUUUCAUCCCUAAUAGACAUUUACUUUGAAUAUGGAUUUUCCUCCCCUGUAUGCAAUGUUUUUGCCAUCUAUGGACUUACAGACUACCAGAAUACCAUAUCUAUCGUCAUGAUAUUUCACACAGCAUUGCUUGUGACAAAGAUACUCACUUCACAGCCAAAGAAAUGUGGUGAUGGACCCACAUUUAUGAGAUUUACUGCUUUUACCAUAUUCUCCACCAUCUUGAAACAGCUGGCUUUAUAGAAAAGUAGAAUGGCCUUUUGAAGACUCUUUUAUACUUCCAAAUAUAUGUCAAUAACUUACAGGAUUAGGGCAGGUUCUAUGAAAAGCUGUAUAUUCUCUGAGUUCAAUAUAUUGUGCUAUUUCUCUGAUAGCUAGGAUGCAUGGGUCCAAGAAUCAAGGAGUGGAAAUGGGAGUGGCAUCACUCACUAUUAACCAUAGUGAUGCAUUAGCAAAAUUUUUCUUCCCAUUCCUGUCAAUUUAUGUUCUGCUGGCCUAGAAUUCUUAGGUUAGAAGGGAGUAAUGCUUCUACCAAAAAACAUAAGAAUGUUUUCCAUUGAACUGGAAGUUAAGAUUGCAGCCUGACCACUUUGGACUCCUCAUGCCUCUGAAUCAAUAGGCAAAGAAAGAAGUUACCAUGCUUGGUGACCACCUGACUACCAAGUGGAAAUUGGACUGCUACUUCACAAUGAAGGUAAGGAAGAGUAUGUCUGGAACACUGAAGGUCAUCCCUAAAGUCUUCUCUUACUAUUACGAUGCCAUAUGAUUAAGGUCAAUGGAAAACUGCAACAAUCAAAUCCUGGUAGUAAAACUAAUAGCUCAAAUCCUUUAGGAAUGAAAGCUUGUGUCUUUCCACCAGGUAAAGAACUAUGACCAACUGAGGUGCUUGCUGAAGGCAAUAGGAAUACAGAAUGAGUAGUGAAAGAAGGAAGUUAUAUUUACUAGCUAUGGCUACGUGUCC
rnacentral:lncRNA from 10 species